CACUAUGUGACUUUCAGAAUAUAACGAAUAACAACAAAACUUGUCAGUUUGUAUAGAGCCCUUGUGGAAUUAUCAUAAGAUUAACAUAAAAUAAUUUUUAACAGAAAAUACAACCGACUUCAAAAUGCGCUAAAAAGUUUAAAAUAAUUUAUAUUUCGUUUAUACAACUACGUGAAAAAGACAGCAUGGAAAAAAUGGAUUGUACUGCGGCAGAAAGUGUACAAGUAGAAAAGGAAAGCGAGGAAGCCCAGAAUCGUGGGAACAAUCACCAUACACAUAACACACUUAAAUUUAGAAAAGUAAAGAGCAGCAAAGGAGGAGAAAAAUUCGCAACAACAAAAAACUAAAGAAGCGGUUGAGAACAAUGCCGCCAGCCGUCUCAAGAUAUCCGGGGGGGUAUGUAUCUCACCCUCCCCCCCAACACACAUCGCCGCCGCCCUCGCAACAUUACAUAUCGCCCCCGCCCCCGCAACAUUGCUCAUCACCACCGCGGCCCGAGAUGUACGCAGCUCCAAUGCUGUGUAUGUCCCAGCCGCCAGUUAUAUACCACGGCCAGCAACCCAUGAUAUAUGUACCGCCGCAACCCCUAAUAUAUGUCCACCCGCAACCGGCAAUGUAUGUAC